rnacentral:rRNA from 1 species
AGAGUUUGAUCAUGGCUCAGAGCGAACGCUGCGGCAGGCUUAACACAUGCAAGUCGAGCGGGCGUAGCAAUACGUCAGCGGCAGACGGGUGAGUAACGCGUGGGAACAUACCUUUUGGUUCGGAACAACACAGGGAAACUUGUGCUAAUACCGGAUAAGCCCUUACGGGGAAAGAUUUAUCGCCGAAAGAUUGGCCCGCGUCUGAUUAGCUAGUUGGUGAGGUAACGGCUCACCAAGGCGACGAUCAGUAGCUGGUCUGAGAGGAUGAUCAGCCACAUUGGGACUGAGACACGGCCCAAACUCCUACGGGAGGCAGCAGUGGGGAAUAUUGGACAAUGGGCGCAAGCCUGAUCCAGCCAUGCCGCGUGAGUGAUGAAGGCCCUAGGGUUGUAAAGCUCUUUUGUGCGGGAAGAUAAUGACGGUACCGCAAGAAUAAGCCCCGGCUAACUUCGUGCCAGCAGCCGCGGUAAUACGAAGGGGGCUAGCGUUGCUCGGAAUCACUGGGCGUAAAGGGUGCGUAGGCGGGUCUUUAAGUCAGGGGUGAAAUCCUGAGGCUCAACCUCAGAACUGCCUUCGAUACUGGGGAUCUUGAGUUCGGAAGAGGUUGGUGGAACAGCUAGUGUAGAGGUGAAAUUCGUAGAUAUUAGCUAGAACACCAGUGGCGAAGGCGGCCAACUGGUCCGACACUGACGCUGAGGUGCGAAAGCGUGGGGAGCAAACAGGAUUAGAUACCCUAGUAGUCC